rnacentral:rRNA from 1 species
GGCUCAGAAUCAACGCUGGCGGCGCGCCUAAUACAUGCAAGUCGAGCGAGAAGACGUAGCAAUACGUUUGUAAAGCGGCGAACGGGUGAGGAAUACAUGGGUAACCUACCCUCGAGUGGGGAAUAACUAGCCGAAAGGUUAGCUAAUACCGCGUACGCUCCUUGGACUUCGGUUCAGGGAGGAAAGCGAUGCCGUGGGUAUCGCGCUCCUGGAUGGGCUCAUGUCCUAUCAGCUUGUUGGUGAGGUAACGGCUCACCAAGGCUUCGGCGGGUAGCUGGUCUGAGAGGACGAUCAGCCACACUGGCACUGCGACACGGGCCAGACUCCUACGGGAGGCAGCAGUAAGGAAUAUUGCGCAAUGGGCGAAAGCCUGACGCAGCGACGCCGCGUGGGGGAUGAAGGUCUUCGGAUUGUAAACCCCUUUCGGGAGGGAAGAUGGAGCGAGCAAUCGUUCGGACGGUACCUCCAGAAGCAGCCACGGCUAACUUCGUGCCAGCAGCCGCGGUAAUACGAAGGUGGCAAGCGUUGUUCGGAUUUACUGGGCGUACAGGGAGCGUAGGCGGUUCGGUAAGCCCUCUGUGAAAUCUCCAGGCUUAACCUGGAACAGUCGGAGGGGACUGCCGGGCUAGAGGACGGGAGAGGAGCGCGGAAUUCCCGGUGUAGCGGUGAAAUGCGUAGAGAUCGGGAGGAAGGCCGGUGGCGAAGGCGGCGCUCUGGAACGUUUCUGACGCUGAGGCUCGAAAGCGUGGGGAGCAAACAGGAUUAGAUACCCUGGUAGUCCACGCCUUAAACUAUGAAUA